rnacentral:lncRNA from 1 species
CAACGACAAUACAACCCAAUACAACGACAAUACAACGACAAUACAACGACAAUACAACGACAAGACAACGACAAUACAACGACAAUACAACGACAAUACAACGACAAUACAACGACAGUACAACAACAGUACAACGACAAUACAACGACAAUACAACGACAAUACAACGACAAUACAAUGACAAUACAACGACAAUACAAUGACAACGAC